rfam:Gammaproteobacteria bacterium RIFCSPLOWO2_02_FTLL_57_10 rifcsplowo2_02_scaffold_47177, whole genome shotgun sequence.
CGAGUCAGCUGGACAGUCGCUGCUCGGAUUUCUUCCUUGUUCGUUUCGUACGAGCAUGGAGGUCCCGGGCGGAGGAAAGUCCGGGCUCCAUAGAGCAGAACGCCAGGUAACGCCUGGGAGGCGAGAGCCUACGGAAAGUGCAGCAGAGAGCAGACCGCCAACCCCGAUGCAAAUCGGGCGGUAAGGGUGAAAGGGUGCGGUAAGAGCGCACCGCGCGCCUGGUAACAGUGCGUGGCACGGCAAACCCCGUUCGGAGCAAGACCAAAUAGGGAUCCAAUGGUGCGGCUCGCACUGGAUUCGGGUAGGUUGCUUGAGGUCAGCAGUGAUGCUGAUCCCAGAUGAAUGACUGUCCACGACAGAACCCGGCUUACAGGCUGACUUUAUUU